GCCAGCAGCCAUAUCACCCUGCAGCUCCCAGCUGGCAGCCCCACUGGAGCUCAGCAGGUGUGAGCCUGGCCAGUACCUGGAUGGGAGACCUCCUGGGAAAAACUAAGGCUGCUGCUGGAA
rnacentral:rRNA from 1 species